rnacentral:rRNA from 1 species
UACACUCCUACGGGAGGCAGCAGUGGGGAAUAUUGCACAAUGGGCGCAAGCCUGAUGCAGCCAUGCCGCGUGUAUGAAGAAGGCCUUCGGGUUGUAAAGUACUUUCAGCGGGGAGGAAGGCGAUAAGGUUAAUAACCUUGUUGAUUGACGUUACCCGCAGAAGAAGCACCGGCUAACUCCGUGCCAGCAGCCGCGGUAAUACGGAGGGUGCAAGCGUUAAUCGGAAUUACUGGGCGUAAAGCGCACGCAGGCGGUCUGUCAAGUCGGAUGUGAAAUCCCCGGGCUCAACCUGGGAACUGCAUUCGAAACUGGCAGGCUAGAGUCUUGUAGAGGGGGGUAGAAUUCCAGGUGUAGCGGUGAAAUGCGUAGAGAUCUGGAGGAAUACCGGUGGCGAAGGCGGCCCCCUGGACAAAGACUGACGCUCAGGUGCGAAAGCGUGGGGAGCAAACAGGAUUAGAAACCCGUGUAGUCCCA